rnacentral:rRNA from 1 species
UACAGAGGUCUCAAGCGUUGUUCGGAUUCACUGGGCGUAAAGGGUGCGCAGGUGGUCGGGUAAGUCUGAUGUGAAAUCCCGCAGCUUAACUGCGGAAUGGCAUUGGAUACUAUUCGGCUAGAGGGUUGGAGGGGGGACUGGAAUUCUCGGUGUAGCAGUGAAAUGCGUAGAUAUCGAGAGGAACACCAGUGGCGAAGGCGAGUCCCUGGACAACUCCUGACGCUGAGGCACGAAAGCUAGGGGAGCAAACAGG